GUUUUUUUUCUAGCAACACAUAUACUAAAAUUGGAACAAUACAGACAAAGAUUAGCAUGGCCACUCUACAAGGCAAGUACAUUUAUGAAUCAAGCUUCACAAUUAUCC
rnacentral:snRNA from 1 species